GAAUGAUAUAAUAUUGCAGUUUUACACUUUGGAGUCAUUAUUUGACAUAUAGUAAAGCAGGUGUUAUGUAGGUACGGUGUGAUGGAAAGUAUAGAAACCCACUGUCCUGUACAAGGUGUGGGUUAAAGUGGCAUGUGUGUAUUUGUACAGCUGGUGUCUGAAUUAUUCGUAGACCGGAGAAAAGCUCCCCUGAAAACCACAGCUGUGAUUCUGUAAGUGUAAUACUACUAAUAGUAAGUACUUCUGGGAACAUCUCUUUGCAUCCUUUAAACAUUAGUUUAAAACAAAAAAAGGAUCUGAAUGUUUUUGGAUGCAAUCAUCUACCACGUGGCUUUGUACUGUUGUGUUUGUGAGCUUAAUAAAUAACUAAGAGUGAAACAAACUUUCUCAUUUUUAUCCAUUUAGGUUCCCUUUAUUUGAGUUUGAAAAAUGAAAAUCAGGGAUUUUAUGAGAAACAGACUCCAAAUCAGUACUGCAUGUCCUAUUUUAUUAAACUUAUAUUCUUCUUUAUAUUAUAUUCUUCUUUUUCUAGGUGAGGUUUUUUUAUUUUGUUGUAUUUAGCAGGUGUUGAGAAAAAACUCCUCUGGAAUUGUGUAAAAGUAAAAGUUUAAACAUUUUAACAUUUAAAAUGUUAAAAUGUUCAAUGUUCACCUUAAAAAAGGUGAACAUUGAACAUUUUAACAUUUUAAGGCCAAAUAUAGGGUAACGUGCUUGUCCAUCCCAUAAUAUCACCGAUGAGAGCGGGAUUUGUUUUGUUUCAACCGGACGCGGAUUGGCCCAUCUAUACACCCAUACAUGUAUGUACCUUGCUUACAUAAACACCACAGAAGAAGACGUAUCCUAAAGAACCCAUUUUAAUAAUGUGGACUGGAGCGACCAUGAACCGUUCCCCGCCAGUCCUCAUCACUCAUCCCGCAGUUUCCUCCCGCACAUUCUGCAGAAGACGCUCCAUGGGCCAUGGAUGUGUACUUAUCUGGCUUGUUGUUCAGCCUGGAGCUCUGCGAAUAAACACAGACGAGGAAGUGCAAGGGAUUGGAUCCAUAAUGGCAGCAGCAGUGGAAGGCACCCUGUGUCUCUCUCAUCAUUGCAUAGGUUGUCCAGCACUGUGGCUCCAGACCAGUUUACGCAAAACAAUCAAGCCAAGGUGGACGGUAGGAACUAAGCAGCGGGGGUGGACUUCCUUAAUGGACCUGGUUCAAAUGUAG
rnacentral:lncRNA from 1 species